AAAAAAAAAGUCCUAGCUUGGAAAAUCUGAGGAUAAAGACUUGUUCGAUGCUUGAGUGUACACUGUGUUAUGCAAUCAUACUAUGCAUGCAUAUGUAAUUCAAGAGAUUUGACAGGAUGCACAAAACUAACCCAAGUGAAGCUACACACUUGUAGUCUGCUGAUACCUGUGAAAUAUGGCUGAGCUGAGAAAAGAAAGUUCAAAUUCCAGAAGUUUGAUAUGAAAGUGAACUCAGAUGUGCUCAAUUCAAUGGUGAUGAUUUUUUUUUAACUUUUUU